UUAUGAGUAGCACAACCCUGACAGAAUGCUGGAACAUGCCUCAUGGAUAAGAACUUGAGUUUCUCCUGCAUCUGCCCUAAUGGCUGCAUCAGAACGACCUACAUAAGAGUAACUACUGUCAGCACGGUCUGCAUCGUUUAUGGGCACAUGUGUAUAAUGGGUGAAUGGGUGGCUGUGUAGACCAGCCACUGAGUACCUGGAGGCAGUACGGGCAACCCUGAUGUGGAAACCUUGUAAAAAACUCAAAGUGGAAAAAACUCACCCACAACUAUACCUUUCACAGUGUGCCUUGGACUUCAUGGACAAGUGAUUGCACUGUCUCUUCCAGGGCAGCUCCUUGAAAGAACUGAUCAUCAGUUUCAUGGGUAUGGAGAUUAGGCUGGUUCUGGAUGCAUGCGUUGUUGUCAAGGAUAUUGUCAAGACUCCACCUCUGCCUGUCACUCCUGGUAUGAAGAUCUGUUGUUCUUAUUGUUGAACCGAAUACGUGUCAUCCUUGAUCUGAAGUGGUUUGGGCAAACACAGCACAGAUAUUGAACUAACUUGAGCAGAGAAAAAGUGGUGAUGCUUGCUACGAUGGACACGAUCAGAAGAAUGGACAAAACCCUCCACAGAUUCUCUAUCUUGAUUGGCCAAGAACCAGUCACAUGGCUUUCACUUUAUUGCUAUUGCUAUGUACGAAAAGGGUUGAUGCAACAGUAAUCUUUGGGAAUUGUCAGGUUUCCAGAAGCCUGCCCUGGGAAUGCAACCCAGCAGCCUAAUCAGUGUGACGGUGCUUCCGAUGUGGAGGGUGCUGAUAUGGGGUGCUCGCCGUCGCUUGAGUCUUGCAAUUUUGUUCACAUUCUACCUUCCUUCAUCUCUUUUAAAAAACGACGAGAGGUCCUUUCUCACAAGCUCUGAAAACACGGGUCCUAUGUGGUGAAAUAGCUUCAAACUGCAUGGAUGUUAUGUGUCUUGAAAGUGCACCCUUGUCUCCAAAUUGCACAGGUCCAGCAUGUUUUCUGCACGGAUUGAAACCUCCUUCCUAACUCCAUCAUCAGUGCAUAACCCACGCAAGUGUCACCGGGUAAAGCAUGCCAUUAUCCUGAGGAUAUUGUGUAUUGACAUCUAUCUUGCUCUUGCCUGUGUGCAGAAUAGGACACAAUAUGCUGCCCAUCAGUCAUAGCCUUGCUGCCAUCUGGUUCUGUACACACAUUAGCAUUGUGUUUCCAUUUUUCUGGGGGGGGGGUUGAAACCUGACUUAUGAAGUUGGAGCCUUCCUUUCCCUUAUAACAAUUAUCGUCUGGACCCAUGAAUGGAAACAAAAUGAUGAAUUAUUGUGUGCAGUGAAAUUUCUGACUUUCUUUCCCUUUG